CCGUCAACAGGCUGACGAUUGGCUUUGGGAUACUAUUCCCAACACUCACUUACUCCUCUUAAAUUCCUUACUUUAUUUCCAUGCAUUCCUUUAUUUCCACAUGUCAUAUGAUGACUCUUGGGAUAUAUGGGCAUAGAAGAGAAGUAAGGGUCCUUCUCUGAGAAGGAACUCCAUGCCAAAAAUAAUUGGGAUGCUCUUUCAUUUUGUGCGUUGAAUAUGGAAGAGUCCUUAAUGUUUUGGACUCUUGAAUUCAUGCCCAUUCCCUUAUCCCAUGUGCCAUAAGAUGGCAUCUUAAUUUUUGUACGU
rnacentral:lncRNA from 1 species